AGAAGGAGACGUCAUGACAAUGAAAUCAUUGCUGGUUUCUUUCGGUAGGAAGGCUGGUUUAAGACGUUCUGUGGUGAUAUUAACAAUUUUUCCUGAAACAUCGAUUGCAAAUAAAUUAUCAUUAAUUCUAUUAACAACGCGAAAAGGACCAGAAUAAGGAGGUUAAAGAGAUUUUCUAACUGCAUCUUCACGAAGCCAAACGAUCAGAUGGAAGAUCCUCUUCAAUGAAAAACUCUCCAGGAAUUCUUAAUGCAGAUCCAUAAAGCAUUUCCGCAGGAGAUGCAUUCAAAUCUUCUUUAAAGCAACUACGAAGUCCAAGAUGCCAUUGGAAGCCGGAUGAUAAGCUGAGGUUCUAAUUUCCUCGCAACCAAUUAGGUUGGUGAGAGCCUUAAAUAAUGCAGCUUCAAAUUGAGGACCUUGAUCGGUUAUGAUCGUCUGAUGAGCACCAUACCUCGCAACCCAGUGCGUAUAAAAAGCUGUAGAAACAGUAUCAGCUGAAAUUUCAGUAAGAGGGAUUGCUUCCGGCCAUCUAGAAAAUCUGUCAAUCAUGGUUAAACAAUAACGAAAAUUUUGACAAAUAGGAAGAGGUCCAAUCAAAUCUAGAUGAAUAUGCUGAAAACGCUGAUCUGGAAUAGCAAUCUUUUGAGGAAGAUUCUUGUUUGCAGGUAGAACGACCACUUGGAUCAGAU